UUAAAUUGAAGAGUUUGAUCAUGGCUCAGAUUGAACGCUGGCGGCAGGCCUAACACAUGCAAGUCGAACGGUAACAGAGAUCAG
rnacentral:rRNA from 1 species